rnacentral:rRNA from 1 species
GGUGAACGCUGGCGGCGUGCCUAACACAUGCAAGUCGAGCGGGUACCCGCAAGGGUACCAGCGGCGCACGGGUGAGUAACACGUGGGUAAUCUACCCCUCGGAGGGGGAUAACCGGGGGAAACUCCGGCUAAUACCCCAUACGAUCCAACAACACAAGUUGUUGGAUGAAAGGAGCGUUUGCUCCGCCGAGGGAUGAGCCCGCGGCCCAUCAGGUAGUUGGUGGGGUAAUGGCCCACCAAGCCUACGACGGGUAGCCGGCCUGAGAGGGUGGUCGGCCACAAGGGCACUGAGACACGGGCCCUACUCCUACGGGAGGCAGCAGUGGGGAAUCUUGGACAAUGGGCGAAAGCCUGAUCCAGCGACGCCGCGUGGGGGAUGAAGCCCUUCGGGGUGUAAACCCCUGUUGCGAGGGAGGAAUAAGGCCUGGAGGAAAUGCCAGGCCGAUGACUGUACCUCGCGAGGAAGCCCCGGCUAACUACGUGCCAGCAGCCGCGGUAAUACGUAGGGGGCGAGCGGUACCCGGAUUCACUGGGCGUAAAGCGGGUGUAGGCGGCUCGGUAAGUCGGGUGUGAAAUCCCACAGCUCAACUGUGGAAUUGCGCCCGAAACUGCUGAGCUUGGGGCCGGUAGAGGGAGACGGAACUGCCGGUGUAGGGGUGAAAUCCGUAGAUAUCGGCAGGAACGCCGGUGGGGAAGCCGGUCUCCUGGGCCGCGCCCGACGCUGAGACCCGAAAGCUAGGGGAGCAAACC